GACGAACGCUGGCGGCGUGCUUAACACAUGCCAGUCGAACGGAAAGGCCCUGCUUUUGUGGGGUGCUCGAGUGGCGAACGGGUGAGUAACACGUGAGUAACCUGCCCUUGACUUUGGGAUAACUUCAGGAAACUGGGGCUAAUACCGGAUAGGAGCUCCUGCUGCAUGGUGGGGGUUGGAAAGUUUCGGCGGUUGGGGAUGGACUCGCGGCUUAUCAGCUUGUUGGUGGGGUAGUGGCUUACCAAGGCUUUGACGGGUAGCCGGCCUGAGAGGGUGACCGGCCACAUUGGGACUGAGAUACGGCCCAGACUCCUACGGGAGGCAGCAGUGGGGAAUAUUGCACAAUGGGCGGAAGCCUGAUGCAGCAACGCCGCGUGCGGGAUGACGGCCUUCGGGUUGUAAACCGCUUUCGCCUGUGACGAAGCGUGAGUGACGGUAAUGGGGAAAGAAGCACCGGCUAACUACGG
rnacentral:rRNA from 1 species